rnacentral:lncRNA from 1 species
AAAACCCUAAUGCUGACUAAAGGACAGAGUUCAAUUUAGGGUUUAAAACCCUAAUGCUGACUGAAGGAAAUAGUUCAGUUUAGGGUUUAAAACCCUAAUGCUGACUGAAAGGAAAAGUUCAGUUUAGGGUUUAAAACCCUAAUGCUAGCUAAAGGGACAGAGUUCAGUUUAGGGUUUAAAACCCUAAUGCUGACUGAAAGGAAAAGUUCAGUUUAGGGUUUUAAAACCCUAAUGCUGACUAAAGGGAAAGAGUUCAGUUUAGGGUUUAAAACCCUAAUGCUGACUGAAAGGAAAAGUUCAGUUUUAGGGUUUAAAACCCUAAUGCUGAAUGAUUGGGAAAAGUUCAGUUUGGGGUUUAAAACCCUAAUGCUGACUGAAUGGAAAAAGUUCAGUUUAGGGUUUAAAACCCUAAUGCUGACUGAAUGGAAAAAGUUCAGUUUAGGGUUUAAAACCCUAAUGUUGACUGAAAGAAAAGUUCAGUUUAGGGUUUAAAACUCUAAUGCUGAUUAAAGGAAAAGUUCAGUUUAGGGUUUAAAACCCUAAUGCUGACUGAAUGGAAAAAGUUCAGUUUAGGGUUUAAAACCCUAAUGCUGACUGAAUGGAAAAGUUCAGUUUAGGGUUUAAAACCCUAAUGCUGACUUAAAGGAAAAGUUCAGUUUAGGGUUUAAAACCCUAAUGCUGACUGAAAGGAAAAGUUCAGUUUAGGGUUUAAAACCCUAAUGCCGACUAAAGGAAAAGUUCAGUUUAGGGUUUAAAACCCUAAUGCUGACUAAAGGAAAAAGUUCAGUUUAGGGUUUAAACCCCUAAUGCUGACUGAAAGGAAAAGUUCAGUUUAGGGUUUAAAACCCUAAUGCUGACUAAAGGAAAAGUUCAGUUUAGGGUUUAAAACCCUAAUGCUGACUGAAAGGAAAAGUUCAGUUUAGGGUUUAAAACCCUAAUGCUGACUAAAGGAAAAGUUCAGUUUAGGAUUUAAAACCAUAAUGCUGAUUAAAGGAAAAGUUCAGUUUAGGGUUUAAAACCCUAAUGCUGACUGAAAGGAAAAGUUCAGUUUAGGGUUUAAAACCCUAAUGCUGACUAAAGGAAAAGUUCAGUUUAGGGUUUAAAACCCUAAUGCUGACUAAAGGAAAAAGUUCAGUUUAGGGUUUUAAAACCCUAAUGCUGACUAAAGGAAAAGUUCAGUUUAGGAUUUAAAACCCUAAUGCUGAUUAAAGGAAAAGUUCAGUUUAGGGUUUAAAACCCUAAUGCUGACUAAAGGAAAAAGUUCAGUUUAGGGUUUUAAAACCCUAAUGCUGACUGAAAGGGAGAAGUUCAGUUUAGGGUUUAAAACCCUAAUGCUGACUAAAGGAAAAAGUUCAGUUUAGGAUUUAAAACCCUAAUGCUGAUUAAAGGAAAAGUUCAGUUUAGGGUUUAAAACCCUAAUGCUGACUAAAGGAAAAAGUUCAGUUUAGGGUCUUAAAACCCUAAUGCUGACUGAAAGGGAGAAGUUCAGUUUAGGGUUUAAAACCCUAAUGCUGACUGGCUGGGGACAAAGUUCGAGAAUACUAACUGGCCUCUUUUUUUGAAUUUUCUUGUUUUAGUAGAAGAUAAAAGAGAGUCUCGUGG